GAUGAACGCUGGCGGCGUGCCUAAUACAUGCAAGUCGAGCGAACGGACGAGAAGCUUGCUUCUCUGAUGUUAGCGGCGGACGGGUGAGUAACGCGUGGAUAACCUACCUAUAAGACUGGGAUAACUUCGGGAAACCGGAGCUAAUACCGGAUAAUAUUUUGAACCGCAUGGUUCAAAAGUGAAAGACGGUCUUGCUGUCACUUAUAGAUGGAUCCGCGCUGCAUUAGCUAGUUGGUAAGGUAACGGCUUACCAAGGCAACGAUGCAUAGCCGACCUGAGAGGGUGAUCGGCCACACUGGAACUGCGACACGGUCCAGACUCCUACGGGAGGCAGCAGUAGGGAAUCUUCCGCAAUGGGCGAAAGCCUGACGGAGCAACGCCGCGUGAGUGAUGAAGGUCUUCGGAUCGUAAAACUCUGUUAUUAGGGAAGAACAUAUGUGUAAGUAACUGUGCACAUCUUGACGGUACCUAAUCAGAAAGCCACGGCUAACUACGUG
rnacentral:rRNA from 1 species